rnacentral:rRNA from 1 species
UGGGGAAUAUUGGACAAUGGGCGAAAGCCUGAUCCAGCAAUGCCGCGUGGAUGAAGAAGGUCUUCGGAUUGUAAAGUCCUUUCGGCGGGGACGAUGAUGACGGUACCCGCAGAAGAAGCCCCGGCUAACUUCGUGCCAGCAGCCGCGGUAAUACGAAGGGGGCUAGCGUUGCUCGGAAUGACUGGGCGUAAAGGGCGCGUAGGCGGUUUGUUUAGUUAGGUGUGAAAUUCCUGGGCUUAACCUGGGGGCUGCACUUAAUACAGGCAGACUAGAGUUCGGAAGAGGGUUGUGGAAUUCCCAGUGUAGAGGUGAAAUUCGUAGAUAUUGGGAAGAACACCGGUGGCGAAGGCGGCAACCUGGUCCGAUACUGACGCUGAGGCGCGAAAGCGUGGGGAGCAAACAGGAUUAGAUACCCGUGUAGUCC